rnacentral:rRNA from 1 species
UUACAGCCAUAUCACAUUGAAACACCAGUUCUCAUAAGAUCACCAAAAUUAAGCAACAUCAAGCCUGGUCAGUACCUAGAUGGGUGACCACUUGGGAAUACAAGGGGCUGUAAG